rnacentral:rRNA from 1 species
CUACGGGCGGCAGCAGUGGGGAAUAUUGGACAAUGGGGGAAACCCUGAUCCAGCAAUGCCGCGUGUGUGAAGAAGGCCUUAGGGUUGUAAAGCACUUUCAGUAGUGAGGAAAAGUUUAAGGCUAAUACCCUUGAACCCUGACGUUAACUACAGAAGAAGCACCGGCUAAGUUCGUGCCAGCAGCCGCGGUAAUACGAAGGGUGCAAGCGUUAAUCGGAUUUACUGGGCGUAAAGCGCGCGUAGGCGGUUUGAUAAGUCGGAUGUGAAAGCCCCGGGCUCAACCUGGGAAUUGCAUUCGAUACUGUCAGGCUAGAGUAUGGUAGAGGGAAGUGGAAUUCCACAUGUAGCGGUGGAAUGCGUAGAUAUGUGGAGGAACACCAGUGGCGAAGGCGACUUCCUGGCCCAAUACUGACGCUGAGGUGCGAAAGCGUGGGGAGCAAACAGGAUUAGAUACCCUUGUAGUC